rnacentral:sRNA from 1 species
AUAGUUAGCUACUUUCAACUGGAAGCUACAACAUGGAUUUAUGGAAUCUGUCUUGGUUUCUGUUCUUGGAUGCUCUUCUUGUGAUUUCUGGCUUGCCAACUCCAGAAAACUUUGAUGUAGAUGGCGGAAUGGACCAGGACAUAUUUGAUAUCAAUGAAGGUUUGGGACUGGAUCUUUUUGAGGGUGACAUCAGACUUGAUAGGGCACAAAUUAGAAAUUCCAUCAUUGGAGAAAAGUAUAGAUGGCCUCAUACCAUUCCAUAUGUUCUAGAAGAUAGCUUGGAAAUGAAUGCUAAGGGAGUUAUCCUCAAUGCAUUUGAACGUUAUCGCCUUAAAACAUGUAUUGACUUUAAGCCUUGGGCUGGAGAAACAAACUAUAUAUCAGUGUUCAAGGGCAGUGGGUAAGUUGCAGACUUAGUCUUCUAAGGCAUCUAAGGAGAACUCUAGUGCCUGGGACAUUACAUUGCAGCAAUCAUCCUAGGCUCUGACCUUUAGGAAGGGGUGGGGACUUUCUUGCUAGUUGCUGGAGAGUAAAAAACAACUGGAUCUAGUUUUUGUAGACAU